AAUCCACUGCUCAGUUUCUUCUUCCUGCAGCUGGAGUUCUUUCCAGACAGAGACAAGUGACAAGAAUUAGAGGUUUAAAAAGCAACCAGAUUCAUCUCAGCAGCUUUUGUAGUUUUAAAUAAGCAAGGAGUUUCUCCAGCGAAACUUCCUCACACCUCUCGUUCUUGGUCUCUUCAGCCACUUUCUUCCUGUUCUCUGGAGAUCUUGCAGAAAAGAGCCUGCAGUGUUUCCCUUGCUCAGCCAUGCUCCUGGUGCUCAUCCCACUGCUGGGAAUACAUUCUGUCCUGAGAACUGCCAGAGCCCAGUCAGUGACCCAGCCUGACAUCCACAUCACUGUCUCUGAAGGAGCCUCACUGGAGUUGAGAUGUAACUAUUCCUAUGGGGCAACACCUUCUCUCUUCUGCACAUUGUCUUCUACCUUCGAUAAGAUGGCUAAAUUCAGGCAACUCACUGUUAUCAGCUCAGCCACAUUGCCCAAAGGGACUGUGACGGGCACUUUAUGCGGAAUCUUAAAGGAGGUUCCUGCAGCAUGAGAGGCUUCUCCAGGGUCCAGUUCAUGCAGUGCACCCACACCAGGUUCCUGCACUGUACAGUGGCCAGCAGUGUCCUCCAGCACUUCCAUUUUUGGGUGGUACCGUAGAACAGAGCCUGCAGUGAGACACCUUCCUGUAUCCAGCUUUCCCCAUAUUCAUCCCUAGAUUCAUGAAUCGGCACCCUGGAUUAUGGUUUUCUGGGGUGAGACGAGUGAAGGUGGAGCAGAGUCCUUGGGUUCCGAGUCUCCAGGAGACAACCAGCUCUACUCUGAGGUGCAGUUUUUCUACCUCUGUGAACAACGUGCAGUGGUUCCUACAGAAUCCUGGGUUGGCCUCAUCAAUCUGUUUUUCAUGGCUUCAUGGAUGAAGCACAGUGGAAAGUUAUGGUCAAAAAGAAACUCUGAGCAGCAUUGUGGUACCCUACACAUCACAGCCGCCCAACUGAAAGACUCAGGCACGUACUUCUGUGCAGUGGAGGCACAGUUCUCCCAGGAAAUCUGCAGCCUGGAUCCGAACUGCAGCUGGGCCUGCAGCCCCAACCCCUUCCAUGAGAGAGGCAUGUUGCCCCCACAGUAUCACUUGCACAGCUUUGGGUUUUCUGACUGAUGUUGCACUUUUAUCUCUGCUAAAAUUAGACAUUUCAGGAUUGCCAUUUAACUUUUUUGUUCUACCCUUUUACUCUCAGAAAUCUCUUUGCAGGAAAAAGCUUUGAUAUGGAACCACUGGAGCAACUUAUAAAGAUAUCAGGACCCAAUGGACUGUUAAAACAGAUCCUCUAUAUAUAAAUUACUGUGAUAAAAAAAGGUUUGAAAAAAUAUAGGCUGGUCAACAAAUAGUAAAGAGAUGACUCAGUGCUUCAUCUAAAUGCAGGUUGUUCACUUUUCUAGUAAAAGGGAAGAGAGCAUGUGUGAUGCAUAUUAUAUAUAUAUUUUUUACUCCUGGAACCCAUAAAAGAUAAAAUUUUAAAGC